rnacentral:lncRNA from 1 species
CAUAAGAAUAUAGUAGUCCUAGCCUGUAUAUAUAUAUAUAUAUAUAUAUAUAUAUAUAGAGAGAGAGAGAGAGAGAGAGAGAGAGAGAGAGAGAGAGAGAGAGAGAGCGCGCGCUAGUCUUCUAUACUAUCUAUAGUACUGGGACUCCGAUACUAUAAUCUCGUUUUCGAUCUUAAGGUGUUCAAAUCAACGAUCCACACCGUUAAAACUGAUCUAGGGUAUUUAAAGUUUUUAGAAAUAAAAUUUUAUAUUUUUUUGAUAUAGUUUACUUUAUGAUCAAAAUAUUUCAAAAUUGUCAAUUUUCAAUUGCUACUAUGGCGAAUUUGGAAUUUAAAAGAGUAGAAGAAUCUAAAUUUCUUCAAAUUUUGAUAGAAAAUACUUUAAACUAUCUAGAUUAAGGUUAACAUUUUUUAUCUUAAAUUUAAAAGUCCUAUGCUCAAAUUUUAAAGAUUAUUCAAUUUCCACCGUCCAUUUUGACAUAAUUUAUUUACUAAGUAAACGAUGUCGAAAAAAAUUAAAAUAUUAUUUCUAAGAACUUCAUAUACCCUAAAUCAUAUUUAACAGUGUGGAUCAUUAAUUUGAACACCGUAAGAUCGAAAACAAGACUAUAGUAUCGAAGCUCCGGUACUAUAGAUAGUAUAGUAACCUAUAUAUAUAUAUAGAGAGAGAGCAAGGCCGCUGUGCUCUCAGGAGCACGGAGGCCUCCGUGCUCCUGAGCUGUUUUCGAUGAUGAAAUUUUCGAUUCGACGAUCGGCUCCGUUAGAUCUAGCGCAUUUGAAGUUUGUAGAAAAUAAUUUUUGCGAUUUUUCGAUAUCAUUUACCUAGUGAUCGAAAGGAUUCAAAAUCUAUAAUUUUUAAUGGUUGAUAUCUGUCGUUUUCAAGUUUAACGGUGUAGAAGUAUUCAAAUUAGAUGAAAUUUUAAUACAAAAUUCUUUAUACUAUCUACAACAAGAUCAAUAUUUCUGAUCGAAAAUUUUAAUGCUAUAUCACUAUUUUUUAUAGAAUUUUUAUUUUCAGCCGUUAAAAAUUAUUGAUUUUGAAUCCUUUCGAUUGCUAGGUUAAUGAUAUCGAAAAAUCGCAAAAAUUAUUUUCUAGAAACUUCAAAUAAUCUAGAUCAAGGUCUAACGGAAGUCGAUGCUCGUCGUUCGGAAACUCCAUCAUCGAACGGUUAGGUUGAGGAGGCAUCCGUGCUCUUGAGAAACACAGCCAGCUUGACUCUUCUCUCUCGUCUCUCAUUUCCUUUUAUAUCUAUAUUUAUAAUCUAUAUAUAGAGAGAGAGAGACCUGAGAGACGUGUCUUCAAUCUAUUCGGAUCCUGCUCGGAGAAGAGGAGAGUGGUAGUGGUAUUAAUAUCUUUAUGCACGGAGGCCUGCCGUGUUUCAAGUUUGUUUUCGAAUGUGCGACAUCAAGGUCAACGAGCGGCUCGUUAGGAUUGAUUACACUUUAAAAGUAUUGAAAACUAAAUUUUAUAAUUUUUCGGCAUCAUUUGCCUAGUGAUCAGAAACGGUCUCAAAUGAUAACAAUUUUAAUAGGUAGAUGUGAUGCCGUAUUGUGAAUUUAACGGUGUAAAACAAUCAAAUUUUGAUGAAUUUUAUGUCGCAAAGAUUCUUUUCAUAUUUAGAGCAUAAGAUCAGUAUCCCCUGAUCUUAAUUCAAGUUUUUAUCCACUUUUUUUGGAUUUUUAUUUUCACCUCGUUGAUUUUUAGACCUUGCUCAGUUUGUAGGUUCAAGAUGACGUUAAAAAUUGAUUAAAUUUAGUUUCUACAAUUGCUGUUAAUAGUGUGUAGAUCAAUGUACUAAUGGUGAUCGCGCAUCGUCGAUUGGAAGCCGCUCAUUGAAACAAUUGGAGCACGGAGGCCUCGAUGCUCGAUUAGUAUACCAGCCUAACUAUAUAGUAUAUUAUAUAUAUAUAUAUAUAUAUAUAUAUAUAUAUAGAGUCCGGCAACUAUACUCUUAUGAGUAUAGAGCCUAUUGUACUCAUAAGUUUUUGGCCGUUAGAUCUAGCCUUUAAUCAUUUUCACCCGUUAGAUUAUACUAUUCAACCAACCACCCACUCAACCCUAGGGGGCCCACUAUCAACUUAACCGUAACCACUUUCAUUCUUACCGCACAUUUUUUUAUCUAAAUGGUCGAAAACUUAUGAGUACAAAGGGCUCUAUAUAUAUAGAGUUUGACUGGGCUACUAUCGGUAGUAAACUGCUCGGUUUACUACCGAUUUAUUUUUGAUGAUAGAGCUUCCAAAUCGACGAUCGGCACAGUUGAACAUGAUCUAGACCAUUUAAAUUAUCUAAAAAUCAAAUUUUAUGAUUUUUUGGCAUCACCAACUGAACGAUCAAAUGGUCACAAAAUCUAUAAUUUUAAUGGCCGAUAUGGUGCGUUUGCUUGUUUAACGGUAUAAAAGAGUUCAAAUCAACUUAAUUUUUGUUAAAAAAUUCUUUAAACUAUUUAAAAUAAGGUCUAGACUCUAGAUCUCAAAUAUAAAAAUUGCAUCAUCACUUUUUGAAGGAUAUUCAUUUCCAGCCAUUCAUUUUUCUGUUCACUUGAUGGACAAGAGAACAAUAUCGAAAAUGUGUGUAAUUUGAUUUUCAGAUAGUUUAAAUAGUUUAGAUCAUGUUUAACGGUGUCGAUCAUCAAUUUUGAAGCUCUAUCAUCGAAAACAAAUCGGUAGUAAACCGAACCGUUUACUACCGAUAGUAUUCUAGCAAAACUCUCUCUAUGAGUUUGAUUGGGCUACUAUCGGUAGUAAACUACUCAGUUUAUCGGUAGUAAACUACUCAGUUUACUACCGAUUUGUUUUUGAUGAUAAAGCUUCCAAAUCGACGAUUGGCACUGUUGAACAUGAUCUAGACCAUUUAAAUUAUCUAGAAAUCAAAUUUCGUUUAUUGGGUAAAUUUGCUAGCCAACAAAAUCAAACCAACAAAAACCUACUGUAAUUACUCUCUCUCGCUCUCUUUCACUUGCUCGCAUAAUCACUUUUCCUAAAUUAUUUUUCUUAGCGUUAUGAAAUUGUAUCAUGCAUUUUUUUGUAUGUUAAACUAUUAGGCAUAUUUCUUAUAUCAAAUUUUAAGUAAUGUUUCAUAAAAUUUAAACUAUAGAUUGUAAGAUGUUAAAAUUUUCAAGCGACUCGUUUAGAACUCGAGCUCGCUCGACUCAAAAUUAGGCUUGCUCGAGCUUAAGUCGAAUUAAUUUUAAGUUGAGCCUGAACCUAAAUGUAGGUUCAAAAUUAUGUCCAAUCCAAGCUUGAGCUGAGAUAAGUUCACUCAAGUUCGGCUCAUUUCCACCUCCCAGUAGAGAUAAGCUUGCAGGGUUUUAAAUAAUUGAAAAAGUUAAUAGUGCUUCUAGAAAUUUUUGUCCAGCAAUAGUUUUGUAGAGGCUUCAAUUAAAUGAAUCAAACAAAGAUCUUUUUUUGGCUAUGUUACAAACUGUAUAGUACCUUUAAUUAAGUGUUGUCUUACUAGUGUUAUAUACAUUAGAAGAAAUAUGCUAUGCUAUGCUACUUUUUCUAAUACACUUCUCUUUUCAACAGAAGCAAAAGCUCAUUUACUAUUUAAUUAUUAAUUUGUUUGCGUAUCGCAAUAUGCAAUUGCUCUUGUACGGGCCAUUUGCCCUCGCGGCACUUAACCGUAUACAAUUUCUGUGUUACCGACCGUCCCUAGAGCAAGUGGCAAAGGGCUUGGUGGUUGGUACCUGAGAUCCAAAUUCGAAUCCUAGUUGAUUCACAUUUUCAGCUAAGUUUAUUUCUAAAUGAAAUAAAUGAAGCGGAUAGCGUGCUACCUAUCUCUCAAAAAAAAAAAAAGAAGAAGAAAUCUGUGUUAACAUACGACGAAAUUUGAAAUUGGAGCUUCUGCAUCAAAGUAUGCAUAUAGCAAACAAGCACAAGUUUCUAUUCCUAGGUUAAGAAUCACAUUUUAGUUUUUGUACCGAGUUCUAAAUUUUUUUCGUUUGCUAAUGCUUAAUAAGAGGUACGAGUCUAUAACUGAAACCAGGAGCAAAAAUAGGUAUGCAAUUUCUCCUGUUGUGGGGUAUCACAACGCUUAAUUAUCAUAAUCUGAUUAGAAUUAUUAGUCCCAUACUUGGAUAAAGUCCUAAUAUAUUGGUUUAUAUCGUUCUUAAUUAAUUUAAUCUUUAUACAACUAAAUCUCCUCUCUGAGAUACGCAUUAAAAUAAUAUAUUCCCUUCCUCUCUCAGCUGUUGAUGUUACAUGCCUUUGCAAUUUUGCGCAAGGGUUUGUAGCAUGGCCUUGCACCUAUUCUCGAUCCCUCCAAGGCACGGGACUUGACGCCGGAGCAACACUUAGGCUUAGUUUAGUUCGAUAAUGAAUAAGAACUGCUUAUUUCAGAGAGAGAUAAAGUUCAGAUAUAAGCAUGAAAUAUAAGUGAUAAAGUUCAGAUAUAAGCAUAAAUAUAAGUUUUUGUUUGGAUGAAAAUUAUGCUAUUUCUGAGAAUAAAAUAAAUAGUGUUUGUAUGUUAGAUUGGAAUGGCAAAAAUAAAAAAAAAAUUAUAAUUUUCAAUUAAUAAUAUUUUUUUAUCUAAUUAAUUAAUAUUAAAAUAUUAGUUAAAACUAAUUUAGUAAAUUAAAAAUUUUAUUAGCCAUGAAUAUUGUAUAAAAUUAUGAAAAAAAGAUAUUCAUAGAAACAUCCUGUCUCUUCAGAUUCCUCUCCCUCUAAAAGUGACAUAACAUAGGAAAGGUACGUGAACUAACUCAUUGUCGGAAUACUAAAUCUGAGAUUGAGAAAUAUAAAUGAGAGAAAUAAUAUUUUUAAGUGGGAAAUUGAAGCUUCCGAAUUUGUCACUGAUCAUCUAAUUGUUAGACAAUAUUACUAUCUUUAGAAGAGAUAUAUCGCGCGGUUUGGAUUGAUUUAUUUGGUUUUGGUAAAAAUACUUCUAUUUAGUUUAAAUCGUCUUGAAUUAAUUACUAAAAAUAAGAUAUAAUCAUGAUUAAUUUAAUGUUAAAAAGCAUUAACCUAAGAUAAUAAUAUAAUAUAAUUAAUAUCUCUCAUUAUUUCAUUAUUAUUUAAAAUUAACUAAUACAUAAUAUUUUCCUUCUACUUCUAAGUUCUAACCUUGGUUGCUAAUUAAGAUAGGAACAAGGGACUGUCAUACACACAAUAAGAAUUAGGUAUUAAAAUCAUUAAAUGAAGAUAUAAAUAAUGGCCUAGUGUCUUAUACUGCAAAUUAAUACAUUAAACUUUUCAUUUGUGUGCUAUUCAAAAAAUUAAAUAUCUUAUUUAAUAUAUAUAUAAAAAAAUAUAAAAGCGAAUGAAUUUGGGAAUCUAGUUUACUUAACUUUACUUUAAUAAAAAAAUUGAGCCAAUGAAUAUUCUCUCCAAAAAAAAAAAAAGGUCGAGCCAAAAUAUACGUACCAAAUUUGGUAUAAAUAUAAUACAAAUGCAUAUAUAGAGAAGAAGCCAUGAGCAUGGUGUCUUGAGAGGUAAUACAAACAAGAACAAUUAGAUAACGACGUUGGAGACAACAAUAGAGACAUGCCAACCUGUGGAAAACCCUAAUUUCAUUUACCCAAAAAUGACCGUGGUCGAUCACUAUGUCAAAGUCAUAUAUGAACAAUAAUGGAGGAACCGUCGUAAUAAUAUAUGCUGUGGAAUUAAUAUUAUACAUUAUUUAGGCGCAUUAUGCAAAUUCUGCAGCGACAUCAAAAUAUUUGGGACGUUAAUUGAUGGAAUGUGCUAAAGUUGAAAAUUUUACCCACUAAUUGCUAUCGCCUUAAUUUUAUUGGUGACAAAUUAUGAUGAUGGGACCAUGAUAACUACAAAGCUACAUACCUGAUGUUGCCCAAGUUCUCCAAUGAAAACCAAGUAAGUUAAUGCAUUUAUAUACACUAAUUUGCCCCUAAAUAGACAGUUUUGAAGAGGCCCCUUAACCAUCUUUUAUUUUUUAUUGACACAUUUUAACUUAAUUACUAAUACUUUUUUGUAGUUGAGUUAUUUUAAUUAGUUAAAUUAUUUUUUAAAACCUAUUGGCUCUAUUAGCUGUUAGUUGCAGCUGUUAAUCAUCCUAUAUUUCUCUAUAUAUGGGAUUAAAUUUAAUGGAAUCAUCAAUAAACUCUAGUUUAAUUGAUUAUAGGAAAGAAAUUAAGUUUUGGGGCCCUUCAAUACAUCAUGACAUACAGACGAGGGGUUCCUUAUAUAUCAUAGAGUCAGUUUUUAAAAUUUUUAAAAUUCCAUUGUUCCUCGCCGAAUUAUUUUUGUUGAUGUAUAAUUAAGCACUACUUUAUUUAAUAGAGCAUUAAGCUAAAGAAUUUAGCAUUUUAUAACCUAACUGUAAUGAGGAUAAAUUUCACGACUAUUCCGAAGUUGCUAGAAACGAAAGUUUACAGUUUGAUGCUGAGAAAAUCACAAGCAAUCUUAGUUUUAUACAGUUCGUACACCUGAAUAAUUGCAACUAGACCCAACAUAUCCAUCCAAGGGUCAUUCUCUUUCACAUUAGUUUUAUCAUUUUUUUUAAAAAAAAAUACUGAAAUCCAAGAAGGGUUGUUCACAAACCCUAGCGGUGAGUGUUUCAAUCGGAGGAUGGAGAAUUAUAAUCUUAUUACAAAUUUUUAUGGGGUAUAGAUUUAGCAUUUCCCGUUGUAACGGAGUUGAAUGUAGUGGAGGAGAUCAAUAUGUCACAAAUAUAUAUGAGGUUAAUUUCUUGUGAAAUUUAAAAAGAAAAAAAAUGUAGCUAGGUUUCUAUAUUCUACCUUAUCUAAUUAGUAUGAAAUUUCCCCCCUAUUUGUGUAGUUUAGUUUGUUCCAAUUAAUUAGUUUCAAUCUAAUAUACGUUUAACUGUAUUUAUAAUGUUUUCAAACAAAAAGAUUUUCAAGUUACUCAAAAAGACACAUAUAAUAUAUGUUGGUCAAAAAGACAUAUAUAAUUAAUUUAGAAAACUAAGUGUACUGGAUCAUGAUGCUGCAUAAGAAACAAAUCUAGCCAUUGAAAGAAUCUAUUAAUUUGUGGGCAUUGCAUUUGAUACUCUUCCUCUACGCCAAAUGUUUAGGUGGUGUAUUGUGAAACAUUUUCCUGUGGAAAAAAUAUAUAUAUUCAUGAAAAUGCUUUUUCGAUUAAAAAGUCAAAUUCCUUUUCGUAGCGUGAGUCAAUGAAAUACCACAACUAAUUAAUUCACCUUGUAAAUCACUAUGGACCCUCUAUUUUAUGCAUCUUAUCCAAUUUUUGAAUAUUUUUUAACAGGUGUGUUACAAGCACUUAUUAGGAGAACAUACCCUUCUAUAGUAAAGACCUUGGAGAUAGAUGAUUAAUUAUAAACACAUCAAUUCAAUGGAAAACAAGAAAACUUUUAUACUUGCAAAAUGCUCCUGCUGAAGAUAACCAUGGUUAAAUAUUAAAGAUGCCCAAUAAUGGAGGAAGUGUCAUGAUCAUAAAAAUUGAAUGAGCUAACACUCGAACCUUCUUAGGUGAAUUAUGUAAUGGCGAUCGAGGGACAUGAAGAAUAGUUAGGUACAAUAAUUGUUAUGCAAGGUAUAGCUUGCAUGUUGAUUAAUUGCAUCAAAUUUUCAAAUGUAAUCAAUUAAAGGGAGAUAUAAUUAAUUAAGAUUUCUGUGCGGCGCCUACAGGACUAAUUAAAAAAAUAAAGAAAAAAAAUCACAGAACAUAAUUGUUUCAUAGAUUCAUAAGUUGAGGGGAGUAAUGGCGAUGGGGAAACUUUAGACACUAGAGGCAACCACACUGUCGUAUGCAAAUUUAACCCUACAAAUUGAAUUUUUUUUGUUUGCUAGUAUGCAAGGCAUUUAUUAAUAUUUUGUCUAGUAGUUUGAAGGCUUAUUCUGUGGAGAAACACCUAGUAAUUACGAAAUCCGAGGACCAUUUCAAAAUAGUUAUUUGAGGUCAUUCGAGAGUUAUACUUCGUUGGAAACUGCAUGUCAAUUUUGGUCUUAUCUCACUUAAUUAACAUCGCUCUAGAGUCGUCCAAACUACAUGUCAUCUUACGUAACAUCUCUCUCUCUCUCUCUCUCUCUCUCUCUGUGUGGGGGUUCAGUUGCCUUUCUAUAUGUUCAGCAAAGAGAACCAAAUUAAGAAAAGAGAACUAGCAAUCUACGUAAACAAAUACUAGAUUUUUGUUUGGUUAGUUGUGAGAAGAAAGGUGCUCACUGUGAACAAUCUGCUGAAACGUGGGUGGUGUGGCGAGGAGACUUGUGUUUUCUGUUUGAACGUGGGUGAGACCAUUGAUCACCUCUUCAUGGGUUGUGAUGACACCAAAGCGCUGCUGGAGGUUUUUCUUCCAAAUAAAUCAGGCCUGCGUAAUUGUAUUUCUGCUAGUCUGCUCUGGAAGCUAAGUAGAAGAAAAGAGGGAGCGAUUGGAGGAAAAGAGUCAACAAUCGCCACAACAUGGUGGGUCGUUUGGUUGGAGCGCAAUAGACGAAUCUUCCAGGAAACCAAACGAACGACGAGUUUAUUAGCGUCUGAGAUCCGCUCGCUUAGAAACAUCUAGGAUCUUUUUUGUUAUAUAUAUAUAUAUAUAUAUAUAUAUAUAUAUAUAUAUAUAUAUAUAUAUAUAUAUAUAUAUAUAUAUAUAUAUAUAUAUAUGAUUCUUGCCAAUACCUUCACAGGCCAUAAAGAAGGAAAGGAAUAUUCCCUAUCGGAUCAUCAGAUGCUUAAAAUAUGCUUGUGUGACGAGUUGAGGUGACAUUUUGGAUAUAUUUUUAAUCAAAUUGGGCAACAUUUUGUAUCAUGCUAUGGGCAAAAGAAGAGCACAUCGAAUUUGAAAUCUCAAUAUGUUUGACGCCGUCGUGAAUGCCAGGUAUAUAUGUCUUUUUUUUUUUUUUUCCCCAUUUUUUUUUGCUACGCUUUUAAGGAAAUACCCAUGCGGCUAAUUAAUUAGUGGAAAUUAUUAUAAGGUCUCUCCGUUAAUUAAUAAAUGGAGGACCUUUUUCUCGUAUUAAAAAAUGGAAAGAUUGGUCUCUUACGACUCACAUCAAAUGUCACCCAUUGGAACAAGAAAUCGACCCGAGUGUUUGAUUCUUUUCUUUUCCAUGCUUUAUCAUUGAAAACCCACUAAUUCGGGGGCUAAUUACAACAUUGUUUGUAGGUCCCUAAACAGUUAUUAGUUGUUUCUGCAGUGUUUUCAUAUGAUUUACUAUUCUUAAAACUCUGAAAAUUCAUUUUAACUUUUGCUACUACCAAAACUUUACUUUUGAUUCACAAGUGUUUUAUUUUUAAUGGGUGCAUUAGGGAUGUCAAUGGGUAUGGAACUAUAGAUAUCCGAAAUUUUAUCUGAACCCGAACCCGAACCCAAAUGAAACGGAUAUAUCCGAUGCUAAAUGGAUAUGGAUUCGGAUAUGGAUAUCAAAAAUAGAAACCCGACGGAUAUGAAUUCGAAUAUAGAUUUUGACUGCACCCGACCCGAACUCGAACCCGAUCCGAACCCGAAUUUAUUUUGUAUUAUAUAAUAUAUAUACCCGACCCGAACCCGAACCCGACCCGAACCCGAAUUUAUUUUGUAUUAUAUAUAUAUAUGAUGUUAUAUUUGAAUUUGUAUUUUAAAAAUUUAGAUUUAAUAUAAUGUAUUUUGAAAUACUAAAAAGAAAAAUAAUUGUUUCGGGUUCUAAUUUUCGGGUUCGGGUUCGGGUUCGGGUUUCGGAUUUUUGGUCGGAUUCGGGUUUGGAUAUGAAUUUUUAAAAUCNAUGUUUUAAUAUCUUCUUCAAAGUUUUGUCAUUAUUUUAAUGUGGUUGAAAUAAGAUCGAAUUUUUUGCAACUUUGGAUUCGUUUGAAGCAAAAUCUCUCAAAAUUAAGGAAUUAAUUAUAUAUGGUUGCAAUACAUUUGAGUUUUAUUAGUACAAUGGAGGUCGAGGGCUUACCAUGUAAUCUCAUAGGGCUAUGAUGAAAUAUAUCAAUAAACUCUUUUUUCUACAAUUCUUUUGAGAAUUAUCACAACCUCUUAAUUAGCCAUUUUCAUUGAUUUUUGCUUAGUCAUUUACCUUCCAUAAAUUUUCAAAAGAGUUUAAAAAAUGACCAAAAUGAAAAUCACAACAUGGCACAAGCAAUAGCCAGCCACUAACUACACUACAUCGAUCGUACCUUAAGGGACCUUAAGAUAUUUUAAUAUACUUUAUUCUUUAAAUCCAUGAAAUGUGAAAAGUUCUGAAAAAUCUGCAAAAGUUUAAACAAAAAUAAAACAUCCAAAAAAAUCUGUAGAAAGUUUGUACAAAUUCUAAACCUAGUUUUAAACCUUUUGGUGUGUCCAUAAUAAAGUUCCUUAGAAAGUUCAUAAAAAUGCCUCCUCUAUUUAAUUGAACGCACAUUGCCCACGAGGCGUAAGUAGACAGUUCGUAAUCUAGCUGCUUUGCAUCAUCAGAAGUGCUAACAUAGAACUAGAUAGUGGAGUAGUGGGUUUAUAUUAAUUGUGGAGUUCAUGAUAACUAGUUUUUAGGAGCACAUGUGUAGUCGAUGCAGUAGAGAACAUAUAUUGAUCGAGUUGGAUUUUCUAGAUACUCAAAUUUUAUUCUUCUAUGGGAAUUCUUGUUUAUAAGCUUGUAAUUUACCAAGGUUGUGGGUUAUCUUGACCCUUAAGUUUUAUUCUUCUAUUUAGAUGAUUAGAGGAGGGAGAGGAAAGAAGAAAUAUUGGCUCAAUUUCAUUAACGAAUUGAAUUAAACAGAUUAUAAUUAGAGGUCCAAAUUAUAAUUAAGGCUCGGACUCCUACUCCGAUUAUGAUAGAACAUAAUAAGUGCUACCCAUAUCAGUAGUGAUACUCCUCUAAAUAUGUACUUUCUUUUUAUGGAAAGUAAAUCCAACUACAUCGUAUCUGAAAAGAGCAAAUGGAGUAUAUCGAAAAUCAACAAUUAAACAAGCUCCUAGUUUCUUUGAAAUGAAAUGAUAUUUAUGAUUGAAGUUUUUUAUAAAUAGAAUUUCUAAGUUUGACCGCAAAUUCAUAGGUCUAAACAACCUUCUUCGAUUGCCUCGAAAUUGUUUAUCAUGAUCUAAGGUUUUAUAAAUAGGAAUUCUAAGUUUGGCAGCAAAUUCAGAGGUCUAAACAAUCUUUGAUUGCCUCGAAAUUGGUAACGAACUUAGUCAGUCUUUAAUUUCGCACUAUGUUCGACCGUUGCGCGCCGUAGCUUAUACUCCUUGACCUGCGCACAUCGAUACAAAAGUCCCCUUGAUCAAAAACCAUGGGAACAAGAUAUAGUCUUUGAACGUUGAUGGCCUUUCCUGCGUAAGUUCUCGUCAAGUUGAUUGAGCCUGAUCACUUAGCCUCGAUGUCUCUGUCGAAACCAGACCUAACCAAUUACACCCUCAAUUUGGGAAGCUAUUCCCUCAUCAAUCCUUCUUGUGUUCAUGAAAUGGAGAAAAACCGAUGAAGCGUUUUGAGGGUAGUAAUGAGAGUAGAUCGACAUCGGCUUGAUGAGGACAUUGGCAAUGGCGGUGUGGACAAUGAGGAGGAUUGAUCGCAAUCGGCGAGUACGACGAGCAGCGAUGUGAUUGGGAAUCAAACUCUGAUAAUAAUUGUUAGGGUUGGUUGAUUCCUAAUGCUCUUGCAGCUAAUUGGGCCUUUACGAGGUGGUAUUCCUACUUCUAGUUUAUGAGUAAUCAAAUUAACUAUGCUACUCUUAAUUGCUGGCUUAGAUGGGUCGGCAUCAAACAGUUCUACAAGUGGUAUCAGUGCAGGUCAUGGGUUCAAUUGCCGUACGCUACAAAUUUAUGCUCGUGUUUCGGAGGAGGGGAGAUUACUGGCUUAAAUGGGCCAACAUCAAGUAAUUGUGGGAGAUUGGGCCAAAUUACAUUUAAAACGGCAGAAGGCCGAGUAGAGCUGACUCACGUUUCAAGUGUCUAAAGACCGUGUUAGUCAGAGUUACAAUCAAAGCCAGGUGCUAUAUGCAUUUACACUUUAAGUGAAUUAGUUGCGUUGAUCUUUAGUUGCAUUAUUUUUUCUAAUAGCGCGAACUUGUAGAAUUAAUGAUUAGGUCCAACAAUCCUAUAUUAAUUAAUUUAGAAGCACGAUUACAUGCAAUCAUCCUAUUUUAAUGGCCCAAAUAUCAUAGAGUUCUGGUAUUAUAAGGAAUCUUAAUAAAGAACUUUGUGUAAUAAGAGUUAUGGUAGUAAUUAAGAUACUGUUAAGACUAAUACUACAAUUUGUACCAGACACGUUGGCCAAUCCGUAUCGUGAUAUAUUUCUAAUAAAAAUAUUGACCAAGUAUCACUAUAAGAAAAUUAAUAUUUAAGGAUUUUUUUUAUAUUUAACGAUACUUAAAAGCGUCCUAAUAUAGUGUAGUGUCAUAUUUGAAAGAGUCGAUUAAAACAUCGGUAAAUGAAGAGUCGCCACGUAUAUCGUCAAGCAUCAGUAAAAUAUAUUCUAAUGCUUUAAAGUAUCAGAAGUUUUUAAAAUCCUAAUGCUUUGAAGCAUCAAAAAAUUAAAAAUAAUAAUAAAAUUUAUUAUUUAAUAAAUUAAUUUAAUAUAAUAAAAAAUUCAUAUAGUGAUACUUUUUGAAAUGUCGGUAUUUACUAUAUUAUAGAGACGCUUGGAAAUAAAUAUAUGUCAUCCAAAAUAUCUAUCUAGUUCUAGGUGCGGUACAAGAUAGGAAUUAACCAUUAGAUAAAUAUAGGUACCCAUCAAAUAUAGAUUGAAAAUUUAAUCCGCUAAAAAUAUAGUAAUCGAACUCAUGAGGCUUAGAAUUAGUUCUUAUCAUGUUACACGAAAGAUAGAAUUUAUUUAUGAGAAUAUUCAUAUGACAAAAACUUAAUACUUUUUUAUUUUACAAUUAUAGUACAUAGUGUGAAAAAUUACUACAACAAAAACGGUCUAUAGCAACAUUUUUAAAUGUCGGUACAGGUCAAAAAAAAGACUGCCGCCUAAAUUACCGACAUUUUUAAAAACUGUUGCUAUAUGUGGGAUCGCUAGGUAUAUAAUAACAGUUAAAGAGUGUCGCUAUAACCUAACAAAGUGCUGCUAAUUUACAAAUAUUUAUUUAAGCAUUUAGCAGCCGCCGGAACUCUACCUCGUUGGCCGCGGUGGCGAAGGAGGACGAGAGGAAGAGAUCUUCGUUUAGGAUUUCAGUCGAUUGAGUGAGGGGAGAAGGAGAAAUGAUAAUCGAUUUUUCUUCUCUUUUUCUUUUCUGUUUGUAAUCGGGCUGAAUGGGCUGGGUGGGGUGGGUUGAAUAGAAUAACCUUUUAUUUUUUGUUGAAUUGAACUUUAUAUUUAGACAUUAGUAGAUUUUUUUUUAAGUUUUGACAUAAAUUAAAAACUUACACAAAAAUGUUCCAAACAUGUGUCCCUAUAAUCUAAUUCUGUUGUACUGAAUUGAAAUACAAUCUCCCACAAAAUAGCAGAUGGUAGCAACUGCCAUGCUCCUCGAUCGGAGAAAGAACUUAACUAAGAUUUUCUUUGCCUGUACGUUAUUAAUUUCUACUUUACAAAUAUACAUAGCAACUAUAUAUAUAAAGAGAGAGAGGGUUGAGCUGGAAUAUUACUAUCGGUAGUAAACGUGCUCCAUUACCACCUAUUUGUUUUCAAUAAUGGAGCUUCCAAAUCGACGAUUGGUACCGUUGAAAAAUGAUCUAUACUACUUAAAGUAUCUAGAAAUCAAAUUUCAUACUUUUUCAAUAUUAUAUUCUUGUCCAUCAAGUAGGCGUAAAAAUGAACGACUGAAAAUGGCUAUCCUCUAAAAAGUGAUGAUAGGAAUUUUCUAAUCAAGAUCGAGAGUAUAGAUCUUGGUCUAAAUAGUUUAAAUAAUUUUCUUAUCAAAACUCAAUUGAUUUGGAUAGCUUUACACCGUUAAACGAAAAAACGUCUCAUAUCGACCAUUAAAAUUACAAAUUUUGUAAUCCUUUGAUCAUUUGGUCAAUGAUAUCAAAAAGAUUUGAAAUUUGGUUUCCAGAUACUUCAAGCGAUAUAGAUCAUGUUCAAUGGUGUCGAUCAACGAUUUGAAGGUUCUAUCAUCGAAAACAAAUGGGUGGCAACGGAGCCCGUUUACUACCGUUAGCAUUCCAGCUCAACUAUAUAUAUAUAGUGUAGAGCUACUAUGCUAUCAGAAGUAUAGAGGGUUUUAUGCUUCCGACUUUUUGACCCUUGGAUUAAGAAUUGUACGAUUGGGAAGAUUGCGGUCCCCCGUAGGGUUGAGUAGUACCCCUAGGAUUGAGUGAUCCCCACAGUAAUAGAAGUAAUCCAAAGGCUAGAAAUAAUCAAAGAGAUUAAUCUAAGGGCCAAAAAGUCAGAAGCACCGGAUCCUCUGUACUUCCGAUAGCAUAUUAGCUCUACUCUCUCUCUCUCUCUCUCUCCAUAUAUAUAUAUAGAGCUAGGCUGGUAUACUAUCGGUAGCAUGGAGCCCUCCGUGCUACCAAGUUGUACUCAUAAGUUUUUGGCCGUUUGAUCUACCCUUUAAUCAUUUCACCCGUUAUAUUAUACUAUUCAACCAACCACCUACUCAACCCUAGGGGGCCCACUAUCAACCUAACCGUAACCACUUUCAUCCUAUCCGCACAUUUUUUCAUCUGAACGGCCGAAAAGUUAUAAGUACAAAGGGCUCUAUACUCAUAUGAGUAUAAUAGCCCCAGCCUAUAUAUAUAUAUAUAUAGAGAGAGAGAGAGAGAGAGAGAGAGUAGGUCUUGUGUGCUUUUGGGAAUACGGAGGCAUCCGUGCUUCUAUGCCAUUUUCGACGAUGGAGCUUUUGAAGCCAUGAUCUGCUCUAUUAGACUUGAUUUAGUGGAUUUGAAGUACCUAGUGAUCGAAAUGGUUUAAAGUCAACGGCUGAAAAUAAAAAUCUCAUAAAAAAUGACGAUAUAAUACUAAAAUUUUCGAUCAAAGAUAUUGAUCUUGCAGUAAUAGUAUAAAAAAUUUUCUAUAAAAAUUUCGACUGAUUUGAAGUUAAACGUGCAAACGAUAUACGUCAACCAUUAAAAAUUGUUGAUUUUUAAUCCUUUCGAUCACUAGGUAAAUGAUAUCAAAAAUCGUAAAAUUUAUUUUCUAAAUACUUCAAAUAUAUUAGAUCAAGUCUAAUGGAGCAGAUCGUCGAUUCGGAAGCUCUAUUAUCAAAAACAGCUUAGGAGCACAGAGGCCUCCGUACUUCUAACAGCACACAAGACCUACUCUAUAUAUAUAAUUGAGCUCCUAUACUCUUAUGGUAUUAAGUUAUUGGUGUUUGUAAGUUUUCGGUCCAUGGAUUAAGAGAUGUACAGUUAGAAUAAUAGUGGUCAUCAAGGGUUGAGUGUUGGUUGGUUGAGUAAUAUGAUCAAAUAGAUAGAAAUGAUCAAAAGAAUAGCUCUAACGGUAAAAAUUACAAGUANUAUGAUCAAAUAGAUAGAAAUGAUCAAAAGAAUAGCUCUAACGGUAAAAAUUACAAGUACUAAGUGCUUGGUGCUUUUAAAAGCAUCAUAGCCAAUAUAUAUAUAUUUAUAUAUAUAUAUAUAUAUAUAGAGAGAGAGAGAGAGAGAGAGAGAGAGAGAGAGAGAGAGAGUUAAGCUGAAAUGCUAUCAUUAGCAAACAGACUCCGUGGCCACCCUUUUUUUCAAUGAUGAAGCCUGUAAAUCGAUGAUCGACAGUAACUCGCAAAUACCAGGCAAUAUGAGACUCAUCUCACUGACCUUAAUCGAUCUUGUAAGAGAGCCGCGCUUUACCCACAACAGUCAUCAACAUAAGAGUCUCACUCUUUCUGCUGUAUUACGGGACUCAGCCGAGACUCAUCAUACACUUACGACCGGUAAUUAGCUCUGAUAUCAAUUAUGACGCUCCACUUCCUAUGGAUCAUCUAUCUUAAAACUAUUCUAGUCCUAACACACUUAACAAUUUUAAUCUUUUGGGCCUAACUGUCGCCCAAAAUUAUAUAGCCGAGUUAAUAAUUUUUAACCUUAUUAUAUCUUAUAUAUAGGAUUACUUGUUCUCACAUUAAAAAUAUUGAAUUUAAACAUUUACCAACAUUAACUUUUUUAAACAGUAAGAUAAAAUAACACCUUUAUCUUUUAUUAACCAAUGAUUAAUUCUUUUUAUUUUUUAAAAAAUAAAGUACCGAAUUUUUUCUCAAUAUCAAAUCCAUAAAAAUACUCGUCCAUGGGCCUACCUCAUGAAUUAUUUGUGUACUUGACACGCGCGAUAAUGACCCACAAUUAAUGAGUCACCAUCACCUCUCAAAUUGAAGUUGGCCCCAUUACAGAUCUAGGAAAGAAGAACCUUACUUCUCUCCACCCAACUCCCAAAAAUACUUAAAACUUUAUAAAAAUUAGGAUUCGGAUGUUAUAAUUGCUUUUUGUUGCCUUCUUCGAAAUAGCUUGCCCUUGUCGACGUGCCGUAUCCACGAAAAAUCUGUAUGAUUUAUCACCGCAUGUUUUUCAGGUGCGUCGGGCGGGAUGGAGCUUGAUGCAAAGUGAGGAAUCCACAAAAGAAAUAAAUAAGAGAUAAAAUCUCAAAAUAUAAGCUGGUUUAUUAAUUCAUGCAACUUCAAUUUUAGUACCCUUUUUUUUUUGGCAUGCAUGUGCUCUGCUCUAAAACUCUCCAAAAUAGCACAAGGCUCAAGUCACGCAAAAGUCCUAAGAUAUGCGCACAACCCACUGCGAACAGAAAUAACAGCUUAACGAGUUGAACAUAUAAAAUUCUAAAAAGAUUCUAAAGAAAAGUGAAGGAUAAUACAACAUAUGCAUCUUGCAGUUGCAUUGAGUUUUGCACAGCAUUAUACAAACUCUGAACUUUGCAACGCCUUGUACAAACUCCGAACUGUGUUGCACAAGUAAAAUUUUUAGGCGUACACAGAUACUGCACAGAGUUGCACAAUUGUUCCACAAAGUUGCAUUAGUUUAUCGCUGUAUUUGUACAAGUACUCUAAACUAGGGGUAUCAACGAGUCAAACACAUGCUGACUCGUAAAAAUAUUGAGUCAAAAAAUUUAGCUCGUAUUAGGCUCAUUUAUUAAUGAGCCAAAGCCGAGAUUGCUUACAAAAGUUAAAAAAAUUAAAAAGAAUAUAUAUAUAGAAAAUAAAAUUUUUAGAUCUUACCUAUUAAAUUUUGACGUAAUUCUUAAAAUUUUAUAUAUAAAUGAGCUUUUUCAUAAUUGAGUUGUGAUUUAGGUUAGACUAAAAAUCAAAUAAUAAAAAUUUAUAUUAUCUAUAUAUAAUUAUGUAUUAUUUAUAUAUAUAAAUAUAAAAUAUAUGUAUUUGAGCUAUUAACGGGCCGAACGCAAGCGAGCUGAUCCAGCUCAUAUUCGGCCCAUUUAUUAAACGAGCUGAAAAAUUCAACUUAUAUUCGGCUCGUUUACUAAACAAGCUAUUCGAUAUCAAGCUCAUUUCGAGCGAACACAAACUGGCUCGCAAACAACGAGCUGAAUUUCCACCCCUAACCCAAUCUGCUAUGGCGUCACCCCCUCCGAAGCAGCACAAACUUCUCAAGGAAGGAAGGUAUAAUAAACCGUUCCUCACUUCUUUAAUAUUAGUACAUUAUAUUACACUAUCUAUUACCAUAAAACUUCAAGCUACCCCACAACAUCAUAAUGGAUUUGAAAGUAAAUUUCAAACUAGGAAGAUUAUUCUUAUUUUUAAAUUGUGCGUAAUUAAAUCUCACAUCCAACCAAUCCAAAAGUUUAGCGAACUCUUUUAAAUUUUUAAUAUUAAUAAAACUAAAAAGUGAUGAGACUCAAGUGCAUGAAAAAAGAGCUUUUGGAUGAAGAAUAUAUAAAAUUUAUACCCACUUUUAGGUGUAACCAUUGCUCUUUCAUUUUUGUCCGCAUACCGAAUAAAAUACAAUUCAAGCAAAAUAACUAAUCAUACUAUCUAAAAAAUAUAUACAUGUCAAAAUAAUAACUACUAUUAUUAAAAAUUAAUGAUAAUAAUAAUUAUAUUAUAUAUAUAUAGAGAGAGAGAGAAUAGGGCUACUGUGCUCUUAGUAGUACGGAGGCCUCCAUAGUCCUAAACCAUUUUUCAUCAUAAAAUUUUCGGAUUGACUAUCGACUCCGUUAGACUUGAUCCAAUGUGUUUGAAGUACAUCGAAAAUAAAUUUUAUCAUUUUUUUGAUAUCAUAAACCUAGUGAUCAAAAAAUGUUCAAAAUUAAUGACUGAAAAUAAAAUCUCAAAGAAAUUAAUGAUAUAACAUUAAAAUUUUCGAUCAGAGAUAUUCAUCUUGUUGAAAAUCGUAUAAAAAUUUUAUAUCAAAAUCUCAUCUGAUUUGAAUACUUCUACAUCGUUAAACUUGAAAACGACAUACAUCAACCAUUAAAUAUUAUUAAUUUUGAACCCUUUCGAUCUCUAGGUAUGUAAAUAAUAUCGAAAAAUCAUAAAUUUUAUUUUAUAGAUUUUUCAAAUACAUUAGAUUAAGUCUAAAUAAGUUGAUCGUCGACUCGAAAGUUUUAUCAUCGAAAAUGAUUUAGGAGUACAGCACUCUUACUCUCUCUCUCUCUAUAUAUAUAGAAUUAUGCUACUAUAUAUACUAUCGAUCAUAUCAAGGCUUGAUAGUAUUGAGUUUUUGGCCGUUGGAUGAAAGAAUGUGCGGUUAGGAUAAUAGUGGUCUAUAUAUAGAAUUAUGCUACUAUACUAUCGUACCAUACGUUUAGUACUAUCGAGUUUUCAACCGUUGGAUAAAAAGAUAUACGAUUAUAAUGAUAAUAGUCCCCUAGAGUUGAGUGGGUGGUUGGUUGAAUAGUAUAGUCUAACGUAUAAAAAUGAUUAAAGAAUAAAUUGAACAGCAGAGAAUUUGAUAGUAUCAAAAGUUUAAUAUUAUCGAUAGUAUAGUAACACAAUUUUCCCUCCCCUCUCUCUCUCUCUCUCUCUCUCUCAUCUUCUCUUCAUCUCCGUCCUCACUCUCUCUCUCUCCUCUCGCCCCUUCUCUCACCUCCCUAUAAUAUAUAAUAGUAUAUUAUAUAGUAUAUAUUAUAUUUAUAUAUAAAAUUGAGGUUCUAUGCUUUUAAAAGUACCAAAGUUAUUGCGUGCUUUAUAGAUUUUUGGCCAUUGGAUUAAGGAUGAGCCUCGUGGUUAGGAUGACGUGGGCCUCGCUAGGGUUGAUGUGGGUGGUUGGCUUGAAAUAGUAUAAAUGUAAGCGAUUUGAUAAAUGAUCAAAGGAUAAAUCUAACGGUUAAAAAUUUUACAAGCGCAAAGUGUUGAGUGCUUUUAGCAAGCCACCGUAGCGCGAGUUCUAUAUAUUAUAUAUAUAUAGAGGAGAGAUGAGACGAGAGAGAGAGAGGAGAGAGAGAGAGUUGAAGGUAGAUACUAUCUGAUAGCAAACGAGGCUUUCAUUGCCAUCAUGUUGUUUUCGAUGAUAUGAGCUCCAAAUCGACGAUCGUACCGUUGAACAUGAUUCUAUUUACCACUGAGUGUUAGAAUCAAAUUCAAAUCUUUUUCGACAUCAUUUAUGCCCUAAUGAUUCAAAGGGUUUCAAAAUUUAUAAUUUUAAGGCAUAAUAUGAGACGUUUCUCGUUUACAGAUAAAAGAUAUCCCAAAUCAAAUUAAUUUUGUUAGAAAAUUCUUUAAAUUGUUUAAAAAAGUAUCUAUACUCUUAUCUUAACUACAGCUCCUUAUCAUCAUUUUUAAAAAUAUUUAUUUUCAGCCGGUCAUUUUUGUGUCACUCGAUGAUAAGAGAAGCAAUAUCGUAAAUAUAUAAAAUUUGAUUUCUAAAUAAUUUCAAGUGGUAUAGAUCAUAUUCAACGGCUGCCGCGAUUAUUGAUUGAAGACUCCAUCAUUGAAAACAAUAUGAAGUGGCAACAGACGCGUUUGCUACGCGGAUAGUAUUUAGCUCAACUAUAUAUAUUACUAUAUAUAUAUUAUAUAUAUUAUAUAUAAUAUUAUAUAUACUAUAAUAUAUAUAUAUAUAUAUUAUAGAAAAUUAGCUGGACAAUAACUAUUAUAGUGAAAAGCUUGCUUUUUGGCUAUCACAGUUUUUAACCUCUUGAUGAAAAUUCUAAAGUCAGGAUUGAUAUUAGUCGUUAGGUUGAGGUGGUCCCCACUGGGUUAUAGUAUUUAAAUCCAAUGGUUAGAAAUAAUGAAAAGAUUGCAUCCAAAGGCUUAAAACUGUAGAACAUGGAAUUUUGCCUACUAAUAGUGCCCAUUCCAGACACUCUUAAUAUAUUAUAUAUAUAUAUAUAUAUAUAUACUAUAUAUUAUUAUAUAUAUAUAUAUAUAUAUAGAGAGGACGAAGACGACGAGAUCAUGAGAGAUGAGCACAGCUCGACCGUCCAGGCCCGAUUCUUCCACGGCCCCAUCUGUUCUGUCUUCUGCUCAGCUUCGUUCCUCAUCCUCGGCUCCUAGCGCGAAGACCACUUCGGAUCUGCCGCUCGAUUGACAUAGAGCCGCGUCGUCCUCGGGGCCUCCUCGUCUGCGUAUCGGGGGCCCUACUUUUCGCCCUUCGAGACCGGAGAGAGAGAGAGAGAGAGAGAGAGUUUGACUGGGCUACUAUUGGUAGUAAACUGCUCGGUUUACUACCGAUUUGUUUUUGAUGAUAGAGCUUCCAAAUCGACGAUCGGCACCGUUGAACAUGAUCUAGACCAUUUAAAUUAUCUAGAAAUCAAAUUUCAUAAUUUUUUGGCAUCACUAACUGAACGAUCAAAGGGUCACAAAAUCUAUAAUUUUAAUAGCUGAUAUGGUGCGUUUGCUCGUUUCACGGUAUAGAAAAAUUCAAAUAAACUAAAUUUUUGUGAAAAAAUUCUUUAAACUAUUUAAAAUAAGAUCUAGACUCUAGAUCUCAAAUAUAAAAAUUGUAUCAUCACUUUUUGAAGGAUAUUCAUUUCCAGCCAUUAAUUUAUCUGUUCACUUGAUGGACAAGAGAACAAUAUCGAAAAUUAUUGAAAUUUGAUUUCUAGAUAAUUUAAAUGGUCUAGAUCAUGUUCAACAGUGCCGAUCGUCGAUUUAGAAGCUCUAUCAUCAAAAACAAAUCGGUAGUAAACCGAGCAGUUUACUACCGAUAGUAGCCCAGUCAAACUCUCUCUCUCUCUCUCUCUCUCUCUCUCUCUCUCUCUCUCUCUCUCUAUAUUUAUAUAUAUAUAUAUAUAUAGUCCGGCUAUGGUGCUUGUAAAAGCACAAAACACUUAGUGCUUGUAAAUUUUUUAUCAUUAGAUCUCUCCCUUUAAUCAUUUUUAUCCAUUGGAUUAUACUAUUCAACCAACCGCCCACUCAACCCUAGAGAUCUCACAUCAUCCUAACCGCACAUCCCUUAAUCCAAGGGCCGAAAAAUUAACAACCACCAAUGACUUAAUACUUUUGAAAGCAUAGGAGCUCAAUUCUAUAUAUAUAUAUAUAAAGAAUUAAGCUCCUAUACUUUUAAAAGUAACAAGUUAUUGGUGCUUGUAAAUUUUUAGCCAUUGGAUCAAGAGAUAUGCGGUUAGGAUGAUGUGAACCCCCUAGGGUUGAGUGGGUGGUUGAUCGAAUAGUAUAAUCUAAUGGUUGAAAAUGAUCUGAAAAAUAGAUCUAACGGUAAAAAACUUACAAGUACCAAAUGCUUGGUACUUUUACAAGCACCAUAGCUGGACUAUAUAUAUAUAUAUAUAUAUAUAUAGGCAGGAGAGAGCGGAGAGAGAGAGAGAGAGAGAUGAGAUGAGACAGACGAGAGAGAGAGAGAGCGAGCGGCCUAGGAAUGUUAUGGAAGCACGGAGGGCUCGCGUGCUUCCACUGUUUUCGAUAGUUUGGACUUUCGAAUCGACGAUCGGCUUCGAUUAGACCUGAUCUAGAGUAUUUGAAGUACCUAGAAAUAAUUUUUGCGAUUUUUCCGAUAUCAUUUGCCUAGUGAUCGAAGUGGCUCAAAAAAUAAAAAUCUUACAAAAUAGUGAUGAUAUGACAUUAAAUUUUUAGAUCAACAGUUAUUGAUCUUAGUUUUAUAUGGUAUAAAGAAUUUUUCUAUCAAAAUUUCAUGCGAUUUGGAUAUUUCUACACCGUUAAACUUGCAACCGGCUUACCACGGCCAUAAAAUUAUUGAUUUGAACCCUCGAUCACUAGGCACAAUGAUAUUGAAAAAUCACAAAAUUUAUUUUCUAGAUACUUCAAAUAUCUAGAUCAACUCUAACGGAGCCGAUCAUCAAUUCGAAAGUCGAACAUCGGGAAACAACUUAAAAGCACGGAGGGCUCGUGCUUCUAUAAACAUACCAGCCCAUAUUAUAAUAUAUAUAUAUAUAUAUAUAUAUAUAUAUAUAUAUAUAUAUUAUAUAUAUUAUAUAUAGAGGGUGGAAUACUAUAAUAGUAAAAACACUUUUUUUACUAUCAAGUUUUUAACCUUGGAUAAAAAUUGUACGGUCAGGAUGAUAUUAUGUCGCGUUAGAGUUAAUGGUCCCCCUAGGGUUGAGUGGUCUCUACGGGGUAUAGAUUUAUAUCCAAUGGUCAGAAAUAAUGAAAGAGUUGAUCCAAUGGCUAAAAACUGCUAGCAACAUAGAAUUUGUACUAAUGUAUCCCAGUUCACUCCUCUCUCUCUCUCCUCCGUCUCUCGUCUCUCUCUCUCUGAUAUAUAAUAAUAUAUAUAUAUAUAUAUAUAUAUUUUCUUAUGCUUUCCCAGCAUCAAUUUCGAGGAAAGGAACAUCACGAAGCAACUACCGGGCCGUUCACAGAACGACUGGCAGGUUGUACUAGAACGAGUGGGUGCCACUACCGCAUGCCAUGUGACUGCACCAAUGACGCGAUUAUUCCCGAUUGCGACGCCUCAUUUUGGUGGAUUCAGAUCUACAGCCCCCACCUCACUUGCAUUAUUGGCAUCUUAAUUAAUUUAUCUCCCCAGCUUAAAUCUAAGGAAAAAAAAAAAAGAAUCUCCCAAAAAAAAGAAUCUAAGAUAUAGUAUUCGUGAUGUCAAGUUUGAAGAAGCCUCGUUAUUUCACAUUUUCAACUAUAUUUAUUUAUUAAAAUUAUGAACUUAGCAUACCAUCUUUUUCUCUUAAAUAAAAAAUUAUUUUUUUGAUUCACAGUCUCUAAUUAGUUUCGAAUGCCUUUUAUUUGACUAAUUAUUGAAACAGUGAUUUUCGAUGCAUUGAUUUUGUUCGGAGAGUUGCUGUUAAGCGAAAACUUGUAAAAUAUUUGGCUGAUGAAUCUGAUAGAAAAAUAAAUUUUGCUUAAAAUAAUUUUGUCUAGACGUUUGAGAAACUCUUCUUUUGUUGUUUUCACAUAAUAAUUUUUUGUGUCGAAUUUUAUUUUAUUUUAUUUUUAAAAUUAUAACUUAAAGUCUAAAUUUAGAUCUAAAUUAAAAUUAGCAGGGAUAAUAAACAAGCCCUGAUGUUUAACAUAAGUAGCACCAAAUUAAUUAGCACACACCUCAUGGCGAUUCCUUCUUUGGUUUUUUUUUUUUUUUUUUUUUGAUUAGUCUAUUAUUGAGCUCUACGUUUUCUUAGGCCUGUUUGGUUUGUGUGUAAAUCUUUUUGCUAUAAUUUUUUUUAUUUUUAGAAUAACUUGUUAUUUUAGGAUAGUCACAAAUAAAAAUAAAACUAUGUUUGGUUUAUAAAACUGUUGUUCUCAGUAAUAACUAAAAAUUUUUUUUUUUUUUGAGAGAUAGGUAGCACGCUACCCGCUUCGUUUAUUUCAUUUAGAAAUAAACUUAGCUGGAAAUGUGAAUCAAUUAGGAUUCGAACUUGGGUCCUGGGUACCAACUAAAAUUAUGUUUGGUUAAUUUUGUAGAGGAGUAGAGAAAAGUAAAAAAUAUAUAUAAUUAUUAAAUUUUUAGAGCGCCAAGUUUGCCCUUCCCUUUUAUCUAAAAAAUAUGCUUAUACUUCGCAAAAAAAAGAUAUAAUUAAUAUAAUACUAUAUAAAGAAACAUUUGAACUAUAUAUACGUACCCAUCGUUUCCAUUAACCUAUUAUUAAUCAAGUAUCAUGCAUUUUUGAAGUUCUUUCCACACAAUUCAAAUCAUUCGUAUUUAAUUAGUAUUGGCUAAUACCAUCUCACUAAAUCUGGUUUCGUUAGAGGUUGCUUUUAUGUUGAAUGCGAGAUACCCAUUCUAAUUAAUAAAGCAUGUAUUUAGCAAUUAAUCUGUUAAAAUUCACUACUUUAUGUAUUUGAACUCUGAUGGAAUUACAAAUUUUCAUCAACUAUUAACGAUUUUUAGCCAAUAAAAUAAUUAACUAAAACAAAUUUGUAACUCAACUAAGAAAAAUAACUUACGUAAGCUUGAAGAGAAGGCCUUUAUUUUUAAUAUCCAAUUAAAAAUUUUUCACGUCACACACAAGCACAAGAACAAUUUUUUUGCAACUAUUAUUUUCAGAUAAAAUUAUCAUAUUAUUCUUUAUUAAACUCUUUACUAUCUUAUGUGGCGAAUAUAAUUAAUUUUAGAUAUAUCUAUAUGAUAUUGCUGCGCUAUAGAAAAGAUUUUUUAUAUUUUGUAGGUACUCUUUUGAGUUUCUCUAGUUGCAUUGCUUAGGUCUAAAGGUAACAAUUCCAAGAGUUCUUAAAUAUAUAGCAAGUUAUCCAACCAGCUACCCGCUUCGUUUAUUUUAUUAAUGUUAAAUAUAAAAAUGUUUAAACACCGUUAUCUAACAGCUUAAGCUUUUAGAGUACAACGGUUGUUUCACAUGGUAUCAGAGCAGGAGGUCCUGAGUUCGAGUCACGCCAGACUCCUAGCAUAUUAAUUUCCUCCCAUUUAAUUCAAGCCCACGUCAUGGGCUGAUUAAAAAGUUUCGAGCCCAGACGUGAGGGGGAGUGUUAAAUAUAAAAAUGUUUAAAUACCGUUAUCUAACAGCUUAAGCUUAAUAAACUUUAACUGAAAAUGUAAAUCAACUAGAAUUCGAACUUGGAAUCUCAGGUACCAAACAACAAACCCUUUACCACUUACGUACUCAAGAUCUUAUUCAAUGCCAUAAAUAUGCACAAUUAAACUUGACAAAUUUUCUACAACAAUAUAUAUACUCUAUAUUUAUAUAUUCUCACAAUAUGAUAAAUCACUUUAAUCUAUAGUUCAUGAAACGUCAAAAUUAAUUGUUAAGAUUUCAUAAUAGUCAAAAAUGUAUAUCUUCGGCUACACAUAAUAUCACCAUGCCAGUUCGAUAAGUUGCUCCCACAUCCAAAUUAAUCCUUAUGCUCUAUAUGGGAAGUAACAAUUAAGUUACUUAGCAUUUCGAGUGUGUUAUUUUCCAAUGCACAAUAAAUGGUAUAUAUUUCAAGCUUAAAAGGCCACAAGUGUAGCUAUCCAAUGUUACACAUAAUCUCCUCUCUUCUAAAGAAGAUGCCAAUUGAAGCCGCAGCAAAUUAAAGGAUAAGAAUGAGUAGAAACUAUAGAAAGAAGAAGACCACACGCCACAAAGUGUUUGAAUGCAACAAACUUAUACAAUAUAAAAACAUGUGAUGUUACGCAUAAAAACUUUAUGUUGAAUGCGACAGCCGAUAACUAGCUAGCUAUUUUCAUGUAAGUCUAAACUCAAAUGAAAGAUGCACUAAAGGCUUAAUUUGAGUAUAUAAUUUGUCACUGGUAGCAAAAGGAUAGAUUUGUAAGCCUUAUUAUUAGUAAUAUUCAUUGCUUGUAACAAAAGGGUGAAAUGUAUGAAUGCCUUUGACGAUUCCUAUGCUAUCCCCAUAAUGGACUUUUGUUUCUGAUCAUUAAAAGAAAUUAGACUUUUAAGCAAAAUGACAAGCUAAAUAAGCAAAUUAUUAUGAUAGAUCCAUAAAACAAAAAAUAAUUAGAUAUUUUUCUAUGUUAGGAGAUAUAAAUAUUUUUAUGAAAAGUAUAUAUAGCAAGUAGGAACUAUUGGGAGGAUAGCUAGGACAAGUACUAUAUAUCCAUAAAUUUUACCUUUAGCUAAGAUAGCAAGUUAAUUGUGACAUGAAAAAUGAAACGGAUCGCGUCCUAACAAUAUUUCGUCACAUAAUUUAUCAAAACUUACUAGCUUUCAAUUAGAUGUAUCAAUUAAAUCUUUUCUUUCUUCUUUUUUAGUGUGAAGUAAGAGGCCUAGUGCCCUUUGCAUCUCUCUCUCUCUCUCUCUCUCUCUCUCUCUCUCUCUUUAGAGUCAAGCAAACCUAUUUUCACAAGUUAAUGUCACAUAGUGCUUCCUCAAAAUUGGCCAAUCCUACCAAACAACAUUAAUGCAAGGGAUAAGAUUCCCAAUCCUUUUCCCAAAGUCCUGGGUCAGGUAUAGUGUGAUAGAUCAACAAGAUUUGGCAUGUAGUGAAUUCACAAAUUAAUUGAGAGGUGCCACAAAGGUGCAUGCAAUUUGCCCCCAUAACUUUCCUUUUGUCCUGAGACUUGUGGCACUGAACUACGUACUGAGACAUGUGGGACUCAACUAUUGAUCACUGGUGAUCAGUAACGAUCGAUUUGGUUUGAUGCUCUUCCAGUGCAAAGGUGUAAAAAUAAUAAUAAUAACAAAAGGAAAAAAAAUGAUUACUUACUAGUUUAAUUAUGUAACUAUUGGAGCUAGAAAUGGAAAAGAAAGGUUAAAGUUACAUGUAAAUUAAAUCAAGUAAUUACAGGAGCUAAUUCUUUGGUGUAACAUGACAGCAAAAAUGAACGAAAAUAAUAAAUGUUUGGAAAACAUAUUCAGAGCUAGGCAACAUUUUAUAUAUAUAUAUAUAUAUAUAGAGUUGAACACAGAUGUAGAAAUAGCUUGUUAGCAUAGCAUUACUCAUUGUGAGACAUUAAUUGUAUGUUUGAUUGAUCGGUAAGCUAUCGCACGAUUUGUCGUUUUUAGGGCCCAGAGUUAAUGAACGGAUUUAUAGAUAAUUUUGACUCGGAUCCAAAAAGCUAACGAGUUUGCAUCAAUGCAUAGAACAUAUAAUAAUAUCGGAUCCAUACUAAGCUAGUAAAAUUUCUAUUCAAAUAAAGUAAUAAUUACGUACAUGCAUUUAGGACACGUGCAAUAGUUUCAUAGGAUGUUUUGGUAUACACAAGUCUAAGAUUUGCCUUAACAUAAUUCUUUUCCUUCACUUUUCUUCCUUUUUGUCAAAGUAUGGGAUAAAAGUAUAUUAUUAUUAACGUGGGCCCUAAUAAGAGUUUAUUUAUUAAUAAUAAAAAAAAAUGUUCAAAUAAAUAAAGUGAAAGAGACAAUUAGGUGACCAAGGUUUCAACCAUUUGUUUUAACUUCUUGUUAAUUAAUAAGAUAAUGACAUCACAAGUAGCUAAGUUGUUAUGUCUCUCUCAAGCACACCUCGAUCAUUCGUGUGUUUUCAAAUAGUGGAAAAGGAAAUUAAUCAACUCCGAUAAUCAGAUAAAUAAUUUGAGUCUGAUUCAUUUUAUUAGGUUAGGAUCAAACCUAAUAAAAAUAUAAAAAUAUAAAAAUAUUUAAACAUCGUUUUUCAUUAACUUAAAACUUUUAGAAAAUGACGAUUGUUUUAUAUUAGUUAACAAAUACUUUACUAUUUACAUGAAGGAUUGAAAUAUACACUGCCAAUUAUGCUUUGGGGUUUCGUUGUGGCAUACUAUAUAUCCCAUGUAUUGACACUGAAUUUUUGUGAGAUAAUUCACUUUUAUAAUAUUUUCUUUCAUUCUUUGAGAAGUAAUACUGCAGCAAUUUUACUCUAUUACAUCAAUUUAAUUGCCUAGAAAUUAAUGAUUGCAAAAUAAAUUUUAUUACAAAAAUAUGUGCCAUUGUGAUAAUGCAAACCAUAUUGUUUANAUAUAUCACAAUAUUUAUACCAACCAUGCAAUGAUUCUUUUUUAUUGUAAAAAAUUAUUAUUGUUGCUACAGUAUUUAUUAUUGAGAAAGAAUUAAUUUCUAGCAGUGUUGGUGGAAAAGAAUUACCGGAACAUGACAUGUAUUUAGCAUUGAUUUUGUAUAACUUAACUAUUUUCUAGGUAUCGAUAAUAUCAGAAAUAUAAAAAAAAAAAUUUAUGUAAAUAUCUGUUUUAUUUUCUUUUCCGUCAUGAUUUUCAAAAAAUCUAGCCAUGAAAAUUUGAACUUACCAAUCAAAUAAUAUAAAACUAAAAAGAAUAACAAGAAACAUUUUGGUUUGAACUUGUGUUAAAUAUAAAACUAUAUGAACAUGUUCUCUAAUAGUUUAAAUUUUUAGAGUAUAUAUAACUAUUGUUUUACAUGUAAAAAUUAUUUCUACUUCAACUUGUUUAUUAAGAUGCAACUAUUUCCACAGUAAAUAGUUUUUUUUUUUUUCCUGUGAAACACAAUAAAUAGGCUACUGACACUACACAAUUAAGAGUACCUGAUCAGCUUCGAAUUAAUUAAUGCCAUAAUAAUUCAACUUGAUCCCAAAUAUUAAUGGGGUGCAAAUCCCAACCCUUAUUAUGUUGAGGAACUCAUAUUUUGGAUAUAUAUUGCUAUUCUGCACCCAAUAAAAAUAGCAGAGUUAGAAAAAUUAAUUUGGAGGAGAAUUGAGAGAAAUUGGGACUGACAUGUUAACCCCAACCCUUUUUUUUUUAUUUGAGAAAUAGGUAGCACGUUACCGCUUCGUUUAUUUUAUUUAAAAAUAAACUUAACUGGAGAUGUGAAUCAAUUAGGAUUCGAACUUAGGAUCACAAAUACCAACCACAAAAUCUUUUGCCAUUUGCUCUAGGGACGGUCAGUCGUGAAUCCCAACCCUCCCAUUCAACAAUGAGAAAAUACUGCAUGUUGUCAUGUUGCUGGUCUACUAAUAUUUUGCUUAUGCUUAACCUAUUUUUUAAUAAUAAUAUUAUAAAAUUAAAAUCUAAUCUAAUAAAUAUGAUCUAAACUACAUAAAAAAGUUAUGUAUAAAAGAUUAUAAAAUUUAAAAUUUUAUAACAUGGUUAUUGGCAAUUCCACAAGCUUUCCAUCAACAUUUAACCUUCGAGCGCACGACCACCCCUAACGCAAGUGGUAAAAGAUUUGAUGGUUGCUAUCCGAGGUCCCAAGUUCGAAUCCUAAUUGAUUCACUUUUCCAGCUAAUUAUUUAUUUCUAAAUAAACGAAGUGACUUGCAUACUACUUUUCUCUCAAAAAAAAAAUCCUUUUGUUACAUGGCACUUGGGACUUUCAAUACAAGAAAAAGCCCAACCGGCCGUCCCUAGAGUAAGUGGUAAAGGACUUGGUGGUUGGUAUCCGAGACCCAGGUUCAAAUUCUAGUUGAUUCACAUUUCCAGCUAAAUUUAUUUCUAAAUGAAAUAAACGAAGCAGCGGGUAGCGUGCUACUUAUCUCUCAAAAAAAAAAAAAGAAAAGAAAAAGCCCUUGUAAAGGGACUUAAUGGCAUCUCGUACACAACAUGCAAUCCGAUGCAAAUGGGUCUUAUAAAUAAAACAAAUAACCGAUGGUUGGUUCAGUUGAAAAGUACAAGGCUCGUCUCGUUGCAAAAGAUUUUGACCAAAAAGGAGUUAGAUUUUGUCAACAAAUAGCUUAUUAUUGGGCUUAAAAGAAUAAUUUAAAGUGUAAAAGGUUGAUGUUCAACCUAUUCUUGGGAUUUAACAGUGGGUUAUCAUGCACUUUGUUAACAAGAGGAUAAUUUUGAAUAUAUAUAAAACAAUUAAAAUAUGGCUUUUUAACGGGCUUAAGCUUUUGGCGCAAAUGGUUAUUUUUAAGCUUUUGGCAUUAAUGGUUAUUUUAUAUAGGACUAGAUUAAGAGGCCAAAUCCAACCAAACUAAGCAUUUUUAAAACUGAAGCUUUUAAAGUAAGUUUAUCUUCGCAGAUAAAGGCCAUCUAUUUUCUUGUAUAUACCACUUAAUUUAUUAUCUGUCCAAAUAUUAUUCAGAUUAAUUUCCUUUUCCAUAAUAAUCUGAAAAAGGUUUAGUUUGUGUUCGAGUUGUAUACUGCAUGCCAUCUUUGAGGAAACUUGCUUGCCUGAUGAGAGUUUUAAUGCUACACUCAAUAUAUAGAGCAGGUCUUGUGUGUUAUUAGGAGUACGAAAGCCUAUGUGUUCCUAAGCUAUUUUCGAUGAUGGAGCUUUCGAAUCGACGAUCAACUCCGUUAGACUUGAUCUAACGUAUUUGAAUUAUCUACAAAAUAAAUUUUGCAAUUAUUCGAUAUUAUUUACAUAGCGAUUAAAAGUAUUCAAAAUCAACGGCUGAAAAUAAAACUUUGAAAAAAGACAGUGAUAUAACACUAAAAUUUUCUAUCAGAAAUAUUGAUCUUACAAUAAAUAUCCAAAAAAUAUUAUCAAAAUUUUAUCUGAUUUGAAUACUUCUACACCAUUAAAUUUGUAAACGAUAUACAUCAAUCAUUAAAAUUUAUUAAUUUUUAAAACAUUUCGAUAUAUCGUUAGGUAAAUGAUAUCGAAAAAUCGCAAAAUUUAUUUUCUAGAUACUUUAAAUAUAUUAGAUCAAGUAUAAUUAGGGGUGUAAACGAGCCGAACACGAGCGAGCUGGGGUCGGCUCGUUAAAGUAUCGAGUCGAAAAAUUCAGCUCGUCUUUGGCUCGUUUAUUAACGAGCUGAACACGAGCUGGCUCACGAGCUAGCCAACGAAUAAUAAAUUAAAAAUGAUUAGAUUAAAUAUAUAUAAAAAAUAAAUUUAUCAAAUCUUAUUCAUUAGACUUUGAUCUAAUAGUUGAAAUCUUUACAUAUAAAUGAGUCUUUUUUUAUAAUUAAACUCGCAUUUAUAUUUUUAUUUUACUAAAAAUUAAUAUAAAAAUAUAUAUUAUAUAUAAUUUAUUUAUAUAUAAAAAUAUAAAUUAAAUAAUAUAUAAAUAUAAAUAUAUGUAUUCGAGCUGUUAUCGAGCCGAAACACGAGCGAGCUGACCCCAGCUCCGUUUUCGGCUGUUUAUUAAACGAGCUGAAAAUCCAGCUCGUAUUCGGCUCGUUUACUAAACGAGCGAGCCGAUCUCGAGCUCAUUUCAAGUGAACACGAGCUGGCUCGCGAACAGCGAGCUGGAUUGCCACCCCUAAGUAUAAUGGAGCCGAUCAUCGAUUCGUAAGUCCCAUCAUUGAAAACGACUUAAGAGCACAAAGGCCUCUAUGCUCCUAAAAGCACAGAAGACCUACUCUCCAAUAUAUAUAUAUAUAUAUAUAUAGAGAGAGAGAGAGAGAGAGAGAGAGAGAGGAGAGCUAGGCUGGAAUACUGUUGAUAACAAAAGGCUUUUUUUGCUAUCAAGUUUUUAACACUUAGAUGAGAAAUUAUAAAGUUAGGAUGAUAUUAGUCCUUUGGGGUUGAACGGUCCCCCUAAGGUUGAGUGAUCUCCAUUGGAUUAUAAUAUUUAAUCUAAUGGUUAGAAAUGAUGAAAGCAAUUAAUUCAAAGGCUAAAAUUUGAUAGCAAAAAAAGUCUUUUACUAUCAAUAGUGUUCUAGCCUAUAUAUAUAUAUAUAUAUAUAUAUAGAGAGAGAGAGAGAGAGAGAGAGAGAGAGAGAGAGAGAGAGAGAGAGUGAGCUAGAAUACUCUUAAAAGCAUCAAGGGAGUGGUGCUUUUCAGUUUUUAACUAUUGGAUGGAAAGAUGUAGGGUUGAGAUCAUGGUGGUAAGUGGAAUUGUGUUUGAUCCGAAAGUAGUUAUUAAUAAUUAAGGAGUAAAUCGAGCUAGAAACUUAAAAGCACUAAAGAAUUGGUGAUUCUAAAAAUAUUCUAGCUCAAUUCUAUAUAUGUAUAGAGUGAGAGAGAGAGUCCGGCUAUGAUGCUUAUAAAAGCAUCAAGUAUUUGGUGUUAUAAAUUUUUUACCAGAUCAAAAUAUAUAUAUAUAUAGAGAGAGAGAGAGAGAGAGAGAGAGAGAGAGAGAUAGUUAGUUUUUUUGUUAGUUUCAAUGCUUCACUCAAUAGAGUGAUAUGUACCUAACACUUGUGGCUCUUCACGUCUAAAUUUGCGUGUUGGAGAGGCUGUACAUAUACACUAUCCUUUUUUGGAGAAAGGUACAUAUACACUAUCCUGAUCUGCAAAGAUGGGAACUUUUUGAAGUUGUCCAAAGUGCUUCAGUUCAACCCAUCAAAUCGGAUUGACUUAAGACCCUUUAGACCUUUUCAGAUCAGUGAUUCGUUCAGUAAAUCUAUGAACCCACUGAAUUUUAUAAGAAUAGGCCGGAUUUUUUUCUAUUUUAUACUUUAAUAAUUAAAAAUAAUAAUAAUUUAGUGUUUAUGACAUCAUUUAUUGUGAAAAUAAUUUUACUUUUUGAGUGAAUGGUAGCACAACAGAUACUUUAUUUUUUUUUAAACUGAAAAUAUAAAACAACUAAGCUUCGAAUUUAGAAUCUCACAUAUCAAUCAUCAAGCUCAUUGCUUACGUUGGGGACGACAAAUUAUUAUAAAAAUAACUUUUUUAAUAAAAUAUUAUAAAAAUAAUUAAAAAUAAAGUUUUGAGAUGGUACGACGAAACAAAACACAUCAAUAAGAAAUCCACAACAAACGUGGUGGGCAAGGUGAAGGCACUCCAUAUUGCUUGAUCAUAGGGGAGGGGGGAUUAAUUGCUACUUAUAUAUAUAUAUAUAUAUAUAUAUAUAUAUAUAUAUAUAUAUAUAUAUAUAUAUAUAUAUAUAUAUAUAAAAGCUUUUUUCACUAUUAUAUCCAUUAAUUUUGCAUGUUUUACUUCAAUUUUAAUCGGGACCAUGUAUACUUUGUAGUGGAAGUAAUGGUAAUUUUUUUGUUAACAGAAAUUGCUUACUAUUCACCGUGAGAUGCGCUUUUGUAUUUUUCCGUAGCUGUCGAUGUUAGAUUUUAAAUGAAGGCCUGUGAAAAUAAAAUAUGUCGGCAUAUAGGACAAAACAUAAUUACACUACUGUAGAACCCAUAUCCCAAUCAAGAAGGAACUAUGUGGAACAAAGGUUUAUAAUUAAAACAUUAUUGAAUCGUGGGCGCUAAUUAUUAAUUCUAAAAUUUAAAUUAUUAAAAAAAUAUAAUUAAUAGUACUCAUGAAUUUUGAUUAUGAUUCGGCCCAUUCAGCCUAACGUAACUUCUAAUACGACUCAGCUAAUUCCGAUCUCCUGUCAUUUCGAACAUAACUCAUCUCAAACUGAUUUUUCAUCACAGGACAGAAUAAUAGCCCCCUUAAGCCAACAAUCCCAUUCCCCCACCCUCUUCCCGAGUAGGGCUAGAAUAUUUGUAAAAGUAUCAUGGGGGUGAUACUUGUGUGUUUUUAGUCCUUGGAUGGAGAGAUGUGAGGUUGAGAUGAUGGUGGUAGGUGGUGGUAGGUGGAAUAGUGUUUAAUCCAAGGGCUAUUAAUAAUCAAAAAGUAGAUCCAAUGGCUUAAAACCUAAUAGCACCAUGAUAGUGAUACUUGUAAAAGUAUCAUAGCUCAACUCCUCUCCUCUCCAGCACUUGUAUAAAUUUGCAGUAUGCGGGAAUUCAAUCCGUAAACUCUGGCUCUGAUAUCACAUGUCGAAUCGUUGACGCUAACUAUUAAUCCUAAAAACCAGAGCUGUUAGAAAGAUGCAAAUAAUUUCUUUAAAGCGUAUAAAUACAGCGCUUACGGAUUUUGAUUGUGAUUCAACUCAACCAGUCUCAUACUACUUCGAAUAUGACUUAGUCCAAUCCAACCUCUCGUCAUUUCGAACAUAACUCGUCUUAAUUUGACAUUCCGUCGUAAGGUAAAAUACUGAUUUUUUUAAACCAAUAAAUAUUAAUACUAUGAACCAAUUAGUACUCAUUAUUCUCUGCAUCUGUCAAAAA